rnacentral:rRNA from 1 species
AGAGUUUGAUCCUGGCUCAGAAUGAACGCUGGCGGUAUGCCUAAUACAUGCAAGUCGAGCGGUAACAGGUGUAGCAAUACAUGCUGACGAGCGGCGGACGGGUGAGUAACGCUUGGGAAUCUGCCUGUUAGUGGGGGACAACCCGGGGAAACUCGGGCUAAUACCGCAUACGCACUACGGUGGAAAGCCGGGGACCGCAAGGCCUGGCGCUAACAGAUGAGCCCAAGUCGGAUUAGCUAGUUGGUAGGGUAACGGCCUACCAAGGCGACGAUCCGUAACUGGUCUGAGAGGACGACCAGUCACACCGGAACUGAGACACGGUCCGGACUCCUACGGGAGGCAGCAGUGGGGAAUAUUGGACAAUGGGCGAAAGCCUGAUCCAGCGACGCCGCGUGGGUGAAGAAGGCCUGCGGGUUGUAAAGCCCUUUCGGUGGGGAAGAAAAGCCUCGAGUUAACACCUCGGGGUCUUGACGUAACCCAUAGAAGAAGCACCGGCUAACUCUGUGCCAGCAGCCGCGGUAAUAC